rnacentral:rRNA from 1 species
AUUGAACGCUGGCGGCAGGCCUAACACAUGCAAGUCGAACGAGUGGCGGACGGGUGAGUAAUGUAUGGGAAACUGCCUGAUGGAGGGGGAUAACUACUGGAAACGGUAGCUAAUACCGCAUACCAUCGGAUGUGCCCAGAUGGGAUUAGCUAGUCGGUGGGGUAAAGGCUCACCUAGGCGACGAUCCCUAGCUGGUUUGAGAGGAUGACCAGCGACACGGGAACUGAGACACGGUCAAGACUCGUGCGGUGGGCAGCAGUGGGGAAGAUUGCACAAUGGGGGCAAGCCUGAUGCAGCCAUGCCGCGUGUAUGAAGAAGGCCUUCGGGUUGUAAAGUACUGUCAGCGGGGAGGCGUUACCCGCAGAAGAAGCACCGGCUAACUCCGUGCCAGCAGCCGCGGUAAUAC